GGAGGAAAGUAGGGGAUCGAAAGACCUUAUGCUUUUGGAGCGGCCGAUGUCUGAUUAGCUAGUUGGUAAGGUAAAGGCUUACCAAGGCAACGAUCAGUAGUUGGUCUGAGAGGACGACCAGCCACACUGGGACCGAGACACGGCCCAGACUCCUACGGGAGGCAGCAGUGGGGAAUUUUGGACAAUGGGCGCAAGCCUGAUCCAGCAAUGCCGCGUGAGUGAAGAAGGCCUUCGGGUUGUAAAGCUCUUUCAGUCGAGAAGAAAAGAUCGUGACUAAUAAUCAUGAUUCAUGACGGCAUCGACAGAAGAAGCACGGCUAACUACGUGCCAGCAGCCGCGGUAAUACGUAGGGUGCAAGCGUUAAUCGGAAUUACUGGGCGUAAAGGGUUCGCAGGCGGUUCUGCAAGUCAGAUGUGAGAUCCCCGGGCUUAACCUGGGAACUGCGUUUGAAACUACAAAGCUAGAAGGGCGAAUUUCGUUUAAACCC
rnacentral:rRNA from 1 species